AGGGUUGUGGCUCAGAGGUAGAGCACUUGCCUAGCAUGUGUGAGGCACUGGGUUCGAUUCUCAGCCCUG
rnacentral:tRNA from 1 species